GAUGAACGCUGGCGGCGUGCCUAAUACAUGCAAGUCGAGCGAACAGAUGAGGAGCUUGCUCCUCUGACGUUAGCGGCGGACGGGUGAGUAACACGUGGAUAACCUACCUAUAAGACUGGGGUAACUUCGGGAAACCGGAGCUAAUACCGGAUAAUAUAUUGAACCGCAUGGUUCAAUAGUGAAAGACGGUUUUGCUGUCACUUAUAGACGGAUCCGCGCCGCAUUAGCUAGUUGGUAAGGUAACGGCUUACCAAGGCAACGAUGCGUAGCCGACCUGAGAGGGUGAUCGGCCACACUGGAACUGAGACACGGUCCAGACUCCUACGGGAGGCAGCAGUAGGGAAUCUUCCGCAAUGGGCGAAAGCCUGACGGAGCAACGCCGCGUGAGUGAUGAAGGUCUUCGGAUCGUAAAACUCUGUUAUUAGGGAAGAACAAAUGUGUAAGUAACUAUGCACGUCUUGACGGUACCUAAUCAGAAAGCCACGGCUAACUACGUG
rnacentral:rRNA from 1 species